rnacentral:sRNA from 1 species
GAUAUCAGGAUCAAAAGGUUAUGCGUUUUAUGCUUGCAUGAAAAAGCAUAACUUUGGGCCCCGUAAAACAUGAGAAAGUAGUCCGGGCAGGGCGGAUUUCGAAUGUUUUUAGGAUUGUGGAAGCAUGAAAUGUGGAGUAAUCCGU